UGGCGAACGGGUGAGUAACACGUGGGUGAUCUGCCCUGCACUCUGGGAUAAGCCUGGGAAACUGGGUCUAAUACCGGAUAGGACCAUGCUUUAGUGUGUGUGGUGGAAAGUUUUUUCGGUGUAGGAUGAGCCCGCGGCCUAUCAGCUUGUUGGUGGAGUAAUGGCCUACCAAGGCGGCGACGGGUAGCCGGACUGAGAGGUUGGUCGGCCACAUUGGGACUGAGAUACGGCCCAG
rnacentral:rRNA from 1 species